CCGGCUUGGACAGUCGCGGUCGUUGUGUCCUUGGGCAAGACUACUGGUGGUGAUCAGACAACACGUUCUCACUCCCAACUCGUCAAACGUGUGACGCAUGGUCAGGCUCCCUCUGCUUCACUUAUGGACGUGCAGGGUACCCCUCUCGCCUCGGGAAUUGACGUGAAGGGUCCUCCGAUUGAAGAGAUUGCCGCGGAAGUGCCUGUUGUCGAUGGAGGAUCACUAACAGGAGCGUGGGAAGACUCCAGAAUCCACUCUGGCUGGAAUCCGGUGGAUAUGCAGUGUGUACAGGUACAGUACGUGAUAUCAAGGGCAGGCGGUCAACACUGGGGGUAGACAAGAAGCAGACGUACUUCCAAGAGGGAGCUGCAGUGAGGAGGCGCUGGAAGGUUUCCCUAAUAAUUCCUGGUGAAUCAAAGCAGAACCAUAAAGAUUGCUGGACUACAUGAUGGCCUUACCCCUGAGCAGUCAUCCUGUUAAAGGAGGAACCAGUUAGAAGCUGUUUUCAAAGUAGCUGAGCAGAUUUCAUCUCAACAGACAAAGCUGAUGGCAGAAGAUGUCAGAGAAGAACUUCAGGCCGUGGACUGAAAAGACGAACAUCAGUCAGCGAGUCACGGUGGUGAGAUGGACUGGUGUCCUUUGUGACUCUGCUGGUUCUUCUGAGGAAACACCACCGUCUCUCCACACCGUCACCAUCUGUGAGCACAAACUGC
ensembl:lncRNA